rnacentral:rRNA from 1 species
GAUGAACGCUAGCGGCAGGCCUAACACAUGCAAGUCGAGGGGUAGAACACUUCGGUGUUUGAGACCGGCGCACGGGUGCGUAACGCGUAUGCAAUCUACCUUGUACAGGGGAAUAGCCCAGAGAAAUUUGGAUUAAUGCCCCAUAGUAUAUAACCUUCGCAUGUUGGUUAUAUUAAAGUUCCAACGGUACAAGAUGAGCAUGCGUCCCAUUAGUUAGUUGGUAAGGUAACGGCUUACCAAGACGAUGAUGGGUAGGGGUCCUGAGAGGGAGAUCCCCCACACCGGUACUGAGACACGGACCAGACUCCUACGGGAGGCAGCAGUGAGGAAUAUUGGUCAAUGGGCGCAAGCCUGAACCAGCCAUGCCGCGUGCAGGAAGACGGUCCUAUGGAUUGUAAACUGCUUUUAUACAGGAAGAAACCCUCCCACGUGUGGGAGAUUGACGGUACUGUAGGAAUAAGGAUCGGCUAACUCCGUGCCAGCAGCCGCGGUAACAC